rnacentral:rRNA from 1 species
UACGGGGGGAGCGAGCGUUAUUCGGAUUCAUUGGGCGUAAAGAGUUCGUAGGCGGUCAGAAUAGUCAGAGGUGAAAUCUAACGGCUUAACCGUUAAAUUGCCUUUGAAACUCUCUGACUUGAGUACGUGAGAGGAAAGCGGAAUUCUUGGUGUAGCGGUGAAAUGCGUGGAUAUCAAGAGGAACACCCGUGGCGAAAGCGGCUUUCUGGCACGAUACUGACGCUGAGGAACGAAAGCCAGGGGAGCAAACGGG